GGCCUGGCUCCCACAGUACUCCAGUUUCCAAAAGGAAUCACACAUUCCCUUCCUGUGCAGAUAAAAGAACAAUUGGACCAUGAGAGAACUUACUGGAAAGUAAUGCAGGAUCACCAGGAAGGAACAGGAAUUCACUCCUCGGUCACAGUCUUCAUAGUCUGAUUGGGAGUCAAUCAGGUCUAAAAAGGUUUCUCCUGUCUACUUAUGUAUGAAUGACAUCAAACCAAUGAAGCCACUGUGAGAAAUCUGCCACUGAUACAUAAUUAUUUACUUAUAUUACCCAUAAGGAGAACAUUAUCUGUUUCUUAUCCAUUUAAUUAAGAAGAAAGACUACAGAAGAUAUUUGUUUAUUUCUCCUUUACAAAAUGUUUUCUAUCUGGCCAUGGCUAUAAGACAAAUA
rnacentral:lncRNA from 1 species